rnacentral:rRNA from 1 species
GAUGAACGCUGGCGGCGUGCCUAAUACAUGCAAGUCGAGCGAACGGACGAGAAGCUUGCUUCUCUGAUGUUAGCGGCGGACGGGUGAGUAACACGUGGAUAACCUACCUAUAAGACUGGGAUAACUUCGGGAAACCGGAGCUAAUACCGGAUGAUAUUUUGAACCGCAUGGUUCAAAAGUGAAAGACGGUCUUGCUGUCACUUCUAGAUGGAUCCGCGCUGCAUUAGCUAGUUGGUAAGGUAACGGCUUACCAAGGCAACGAUGCAUAGCCGACCUGAGAGGGUGAUCGGCCACACUGGAACUGGGACACGGUCCAGACUCCUACGGGAGGCAGCAGUAGGGAAUCUGCCGCAAUGGGCGAAAGCCUGACGGAGCAACGCCGCGUGAGUGAUGAAGGUCUUCGGAUCGUAAAACUCUGUUAUUAGGGAAGAACAUAUGUGUAAGUAACUGUGCACAUCUUGACGGUACCUAAUCAGAAAGCCACGGCUAACUACGUG